UUUUGUUGUGGCCAAGUGUGGAUCCACUAAUAAGUCAGAGUGCAAUUCAUUUUUUUACAACAUAUUGCAAAAGUUUCCAUGCAGAUAAAGAAUUACAAAUAUUUAUCAAAAAAGUUGUUUGGCGUAAAAAUGCAAUUGUAAAAUUUAUUUGAAGUGCUAUGUGUGCUAGGGCGGUAACUUCACGACAAGUGAAGAAGUAAAGUUGUAGCAAGAAAAACGAACGAAAGUGUGUGCUUUGGGCGUCUGGAGUGCAGCGCGUAAUUAAAAAAAGGCCAUUGGAGCAGUGGAAGCGAUUAUAAAGCUUUAGUGCAACGCCAUUGAUACUAUCUGUAGCCCGUGGAGCAAGUGUGCAGUGUAACACAUUUUCAGAGCUU